rnacentral:pre_miRNA from 1 species
CGUUGCUUCAUGAUCAGUCCUCCAAAGGCACAAGAACAUCAAAUAGGUGACACCAAGAUGUGUUUGUUUGGUUUCACCUAUUUGAUGUUCUUGCCCUUUAGGAGGAUUGAUCUUGCCACAACCCU